rnacentral:rRNA from 1 species
GACGUAGGGCGCGAGCGUUGUCCGGAUUUAUUGGGCGUAAAGAGCGUGUAGGCGGUCCGGUAAGUCCGCUGUGAAAGUCGGGGGCUCAACCCUCGAAAGCCGGUGGAUACUGUCGGACUAGAGUGCGGAAGAGGCGAGUGGAAUUCCUGGUGUAGCGGUGGAAUGCGCAGAUAUCAGGAGGAACACCGGUGGCGAAGGCGGCAUCCUGGACCAUUACUGACGCUGAGGCGCGAAAGCUAGGGGAGCAAACGGG